rnacentral:rRNA from 1 species
GACGAGCCUCACGAACGUUAUUCGGAGUUACUGGGCGUAAAGGGCGCGUAGGCGGUUAUUUAAGAUUGAUGUGAAAUCCCUGGGCUUAACCUAGGAACUGCAUUGAUAACUGGAUAGCUGGAGUACUGUAGAGGGUAGUGGAAUUUCCGGUGUAGCGGUGAAAUGCGUAGAGAUCGGAAGGAACACCAGUGGCGAAGGCGGCUACCUGGACAGAUACUGACGCUGAGGCGCGAGAGCGUGGGGGAGCAAACAGG